rnacentral:lncRNA from 1 species
AAAAAACAAAAAAAAACAUAAAAAUGAAUAAUUACAUAGUUUUUCUGUUAGUUAUUGGUAUGUGUUCUUGGUCAAGUGAAGCUUGGAUAAAAGAAAACUGCCCUAUAAAUCGUAUAAUGAUUACUAACCAACUCGGUGGUGGUCAAGUAUUGGGAUACAAGUGCAGUAAUUGGCUAUAUCAAAAUUGGGAAGGCGGUUUAAGAACUUUUAAUCAAAACAGAACUUGGGAAUUCGCCGAUGUUACUAAUAGAAGAGAAAGAACAAGGUAUGCAUGUGAUUUAUGGUUUGGAGCUCGAAAAGAAUUUCAUUUUGAUGAGCUUGAAAUAUAUCGAGCUGCUGCAAAUACUAGAUGUAAUCAAAUACGUCAAUGGGCAGCUAGACCUGAUGGGAUUUGGUUCAGAAGAGAUCAUGACAAACCGUUAGGCCUUGUCCGCCCCUGGAAGAAAAGAUAGAUAUAACUUCUUCUUUUCCAUUUCCUAAUAUUGAAAUAAUCAGUAAAGAUCUAAUAAUAAUGUGCUAUAUUGUAUAUAGAAAAAAUAUUAUAAUAAUAGUGUAUAAGUUUAAGUAAUACUUAUACAUGUUGUUGUUUCAAGGUUGUAAACAAUGACACAAUAUACUUAUUUUAUAAUAAUUCUUGUUUUGUAACAGAAAUGUCUACAUCUUUAUGUUUUUCUUUUUAGUAUGCAAAAGAAAACAUGUUUAGAACCUCUAGGUACCAACAAUGAAGUUUCGGGAUGUUUAAUCAACGUUAGGCAUCGCUAUUUGAAUCUUCAAUCCCAAUUCGAGAUACCAACUAUGGAGUUUCGAGUUGUUCAAUUGACGUGAACCAUCUCUGUGUAAAUCUUCAAUUCUGAUGUUUUGCCUUCCGUUAAAAUCAUGUUCAUAGUAUUCCUAAACUUCAUACCUUUAAUUAACGUGAUUCUGUUCUUGAAUAAGUGUUAUUAAAUUCAUGUUCAUAUGACUAUUAAACUAAUGUUCAUAGUGUUCUUAAACUCAUAUCUUAAUAAUUUUGUAAUUUGGUUGAGGUCAUGUUACGCUGGAGCAGGAAUCUGUUCUUUUCUAAUAUUAAGCCCUUCGAAGAGAAAGGUCUUGCUGAUGAGUGGGACAAAGUUGGGAUGUAUCUCUCAGGGUUCAAUAAGCUCGAUGAUGAUAAUUGAUUCUCUGGAAAUUUUAUUUGAGAUUAGGACAAAGGUAUAGUGAAGCUCGAGAUUGAGAUGAUUUGUUCUUUUAAUUUAUUUCUUGAAUAUACAGCUAUAUUCUUCCUUGAAGUAAUUAUGUUGUUUGUAUGUUUAUUUCAGAAAUGUCAAAAGGUUUAUGAAGAUCUUUACAAAGAGAUGACUCAGCUUCUGACUCGAGAUCAUUUUAGGUAAAUUUAGCUUUAGCCUUAAUAUAACUCAACUUUCUAAAAUGCAUACACUUAAGUUUUAAAGUGUGUGUUUGAUAUCUCCACAGGGAAAAGAGUAAUUGUCAACUAGAGUGAUACAAAAUCAGCCAGAAAUAUAAUGUAAACUCAGUUGAAGAAACUGAUAGAGGAAUAUUCUUUGUUUGAUGAGAAGCUUGCCUUCCCCAGUUUCCAGCCUUCUUGCUCGUGAACUUUGAUCAAUCAAAGGUAAACGUCCUGUAUCUUUCUUGAACAGAAAGGUCAAGUGAUCAAUCAAGAACAUCUCUCUGGUCACCAAUGAGAGCCAGGAUUUGUAGAAGAGCGUUAGAGAGAGAGAGAGAGAGAGAAGAGAGACUGAAGUAGCCGUGACUAUUAUCAUGAAGGGAAACAAAGUAAAAGUGACGGGGAAAGGGAUAAUGAUUGUGGUGCGUCGCGUCUAGAUAAUCAAAGUGGUCGGUAUAGACAGAGAAGAGAAGGGAUGAAGUCUCCAGAUUAUCAGGACAUCGUCAUGGACACUAGAAGUAGCCGAGCAGGGCCUGAUGGUGAUGUGAUCAAAUUUCAAAUCAGAGCGUUAACCUUCCAGUUCUGUGGUGCAAGAAGAGAAUGGGUAUGUGCUUUUUUUAUUUUUGUGUACUUGGAAACGUUUGGUGUGCUGUCUUUGUAAGUUGAUGUUUUUGACUCUAAUGUUGAUUUGCGCUUUUGAAGAAGCUUUAAAGUUGCUAUUGAUCAUAAGUUUGUUAUGGUGAAACAGGAACGUCUCAGGUCAGACUGCAAAAUGGGUCUCUUCCAGGGAGGCGGCUGAGCUGUCUGGAGGAUCGGACAGGGGUACAAGACAGAAAGCGUCUGAGAAAACUGUAAAGACGGAAGAUGGUGUUUUGGGCGAGUUUCAUGGUUCCACAAAAGCUUCUCGCCGGCCCAUGGUUGAAAGAUCUCCUUCUUCGACAAGUCUUGACCGGAGAUUCAAUUUAUAAUCAGAGUUAGUGCAAGAUGGAGCAGUGAGGUUGAAGAAACAGGCCUUAGGAACAACGCGAAAGAUUUUUCAGCACCUGAGGAUGAAAGGUUUCGGGUGGAUGACACAUCACAGGGAAAUAUAUCCUUUAACAAUAAAGCCUACCUGAGAAAGUGCCAUUGAAGAUAGGAAGGAGUUUGGUAGAUCUUCAAGCCUAUACUUCUGAGUUGUUGAUGCUUUUGGGAGCUGUAAUAAAAUUACGUUCUUCGGCUGGAUGACAUUGUUUCUGCAUAUUUUGAGUUGUGAAGUUCAGGUACUCUCUUUCACAAGUAUUUGCUGUGUUUUUGUACUUUAUACGUUGGGUUUUAAAUUUUAGUACAUAAAAGAAUAUUAUGUUUUGAUUUACCUCUUUUCACGUAAUCUAAUCCUAAAAAUUUAUAGACUUCAAGAAUAAGCAACAAAACUUAUAUGUAUUGUUUUGUUUGGUAUUGGAGUUGCCUUCAAGCCAAAUUUAGCUUGAAAAUAACGUGAUUAUUCGAAUUAUCUGUAUAUACAAUUGAUAGCUAAUAUUGUAUUUAUAUAUUACGUUUGUUAAAUAUAUACAUAUAAAAUAUAUAAAAAGAGAAUAUAUUUUGUUAAUUAAAUCCGGUUUAGCAUGAAAUAAAAUAAUAAGUUUUGUAGAAUAAACUACAAUAUUAGAUGCUAAGUCUACAAUAACAUUAACCUACACCCGCUAAUGAUCAACUUACACACGUAUAACUAUCUACACGAUUUCUCGCUAGCUGCAGUUUGGAGGUUCAUAACAUUCGAGAAAUGCAAAGUAUUUUCAUAACAACACCGAAGAUGGUAUAACACAUACAUUGCAGCCAAAUAUUAUUUAACUAAUGUUAUAUACUUUUUAAGUUAAAAGUUGCAUCCUACGGCAUCAAAAUAUGUUUUUAUGGUUUGUAUUUUCAGAGAGAUUCUUUCGAGAUUUAAUGGUUUUUCGUUUUUCUAAAAAAACUAAAGUUGGAUAGAAACAAAAUAAAACAAGAACGAAUGACUGCUACAAUUAGAGUCGCAUCCAUACAUCAUUUCAUAGAGUUAGAAUAACCAAACUUCAAUGUAUCCUCACCGAAAUUGGGGUCGCAAUACCUUCUCCACCAGUAGUUUUCUGUGACAACGUCGGAGCUACAUUUCUCUGCGCUAAUCCAAUCUUUUAUUCACGCAUGAAGCACAUAGCGAUAGACUACCACUUCGUUCGUGGUCAAGUUCAACGGGGAGCUUUGCGAGUUUCACAUAUUAAUAUCAGAGAUCAAUACACUGACGCCCUCACCACUUCACUCUCUCGAGCUAGGUUCUUGGAUCUUCGUGACAAGUUUGGAGUGAGACCUCUCCCUCUAUCUUGAGGGGACGUGUUAAAGAUAUUAUAGAGAAAUACUCGGGAUUCCAAUCCCUUCUGUUAUGGCAACUUAGUUAAUACGUUAACCUAGAGACCUCCUCUUUAUUCUUGUAUAUAUAGGCAAUUUUCCUUGUACUGUUAAUAUAUGCAAAUACAUAUUCUUUACACUUUCUCCAGCUUUACAACCUCCUUGUGUACCACCCUAGAAGGUUUGUUAUGACCUUUUCCUCUUUUAACAGAUGUAGCUGACUCUGAAACAGUCUUCUGAUUGAAACAGAGACUCAGGUGAAGUACAAUAUAUAGGUUAUGCUGCAGAGACGUACCCACCACACACGGCAAAUAAUAUAUCUUCCAAUUUACUCACAAAGUGAUAUGAUCUAUGCCAAAUGUUGUGUUUAAAUAUAAUCUUCAGUAAAGUAUAAAUAAAAAAUUUGGUAUAAAUCAUCAUAAAACAAUAGGAUUAUCCAUGAUAAAAUACUCAACGUGACAAUUUUUAUAAUUAUAAUUCAGUAAUAAGAAGAUCUUAAUUAUUAGUUUAUAAUAAUACAUUUCCUAACAUUUUAAUUUUGUGGUUUUGUUUUUGUGGUAAUUUAUAAAUUAUAAUUGUUUCCUUAUUUAUUUUAUCUUUGUGGCUAGCCAUAUUUUUUUAUAUUAAGCUGAGUAAACCCUCUAACACCAAUAAUUUUACUUGGUUUGUAUUUGAUUUAGUAAUUAGUUAACGCUAUUAAUUACAUAUCUAAAAAUAAAAGUAAAACAUACUUCACAUUUUUUUUUAUAAAUACUUCAUGUUGAUAAUCUUAUCACUCCAACAAAAAAAAAUCAUAAAAAUGAAUAAUUACAUAGUUUUUCUGUUUGUUAUUGCUAUGUGUUCUAGGUUAAGUGAAGCUUUGGUACCAGAAAAUUGCCCUAUAAAUCGUAUAAUGAUUACUAACCAACUCGGUGGUGGUAAAGUAUUGGGAUACAAGUGCAGUAAUUGGCUACGUCGUGAAUGGCAAGGCAGUUUAAGAACUUUUAAUCAAAAUAAAUCUUGGGAAUUCACUGAUGUUAUUAAAAUACGAAAAAGAUCAAGGUAUGAAUGUGAUUUAUGGUUUGGAGCUCGAAAAGAAUUUCAUUUUGAUGAGCUUCAAAUAUAUCGAGCUGCUUCUAGGCGUAGAUGUAAUAUAAUACGUCAAUGGGCAGCUAGACCUGAUGGGAUUUGGUUCAGAAAAGAUCAUGACAAACCGUUAGGCCAUGUCCUUCCCUGGAAGAAAAGAUAGAUAUAACUUUUUCUUUUCCAUUUCCUAAUAUUGAAAUAUCA